ACAAGCCUGAGAAACGGCUAGUAGGACUAAGGUCUGCAGCAGGCGCGAAACUUACACAAUGCUAGAUUACCAUUAGCGAUGUAGUGAAGAAAAAUAACGAUGUACUUGCAUUUAAACAUGCUAGUACAAUUGGAAUGAGACGACUACAAACCAGUUAGUCGAGUAACAAAUGGAGGGCAAGUCUGGUGCCAGCAGCCGCGGUAAUUCCAGCUCCAUUAGCAUACAUUAAAGUUGUUGCGGUUAAAAAGCUCGUAGUUGAAUUUAUAGUUGGUUACAUUGGGGCGCUUCCACUCAAGGGAUAGAUUAAUUUUAAUUAAUUCUUCUAUCCUGGUUGCGCUUUCCCCUUAGGAGCCAACUGUUUCGUCACUUAAUCGAGUGCGAAGCGGGCUGGAGUGGUCAACAAGUUUAUCUUGUUUUCGCUACAGCAUCUUUACCUUGAGAAAAUUAGAGUGCUCACAGCAGGCAGUUGGGGUGUAAAAGCCUCUUUAAUGCUUGAAUAAUGUUGCAUGGAAUAAUAGAAUACGGCCUCGGUUCUAUUCUGUUGGUCUUAUAGAACAACAAACAAGUUGGUUAAGGCGAUCAAAAGUCACCCGGACGAUGUGUGCCCCCAAGGAUCUACUUAAAUUCUUGUUGUCUUUGGUGCCUAAAAACACCUUUGUACCAUAAUUUAAAAAGACCCCCUUGGAGGCACAUCUAAAGCAUCCCCGGAUUGGCUAGCCUUCUAAUCAACUGAGGCAAUGGUUAAAAGAAAUAGUCGCGGCGGCAUCAGUACUGCAUCGUGAGAG
rnacentral:rRNA from 1 species